rnacentral:rRNA from 1 species
UGGCGGACGGGUGAGUAACACGUGGGCAAUCUGGCUGUAGGACAGGGAUAACCCCGGGAAACCGGAGCUAAUACCGGAUAGAGGUAAAGAUCGCAUGAUUUUUACCGGAAAGAUGGCGCAAGCUAUCACCUGCAGAUGAGCCCGCGGCGCAUUAGCUAGUUGGUGGGGUAACGGCUCACCAAGGCGACGAUGCGUAGCCGACCUGAGAGGGUGAUCGGCCACACUGGGACUGAGACACGGCCCAGACUCCUACGGGAGGCAGCAGUAGGGAAUCUUCCGCAAUGGACGAAAGUCUGACGGAGCAACGCCGCGUGAGUGAUGAAGGUUUUCGGAUUGUAAAACUCUGUCAUUAGGGAAGAACGGCUAUGGUUUGAAUAAGGCCAUAGAGUGACGGUACCUAAAGAGGAAGCCCCGGCUAACUACGUGCCAACAGCCGCGGUAAUACGUAGGGGGCAAGCGUUGUCCGGAAUUAUUGGGCGUAAAGCGCGCGCAGGCGGUUCUUUAAGUCUGAUGUGAAAGCCCACGGCUCAACCGUGGAGGGUCAUUGGAAACUGGAGGACUUGAGUGCAGGAGAGGAAAGUGGAAUUCCACGUGUAGCGGUGAAAUGCGUAGAGAUGUGGAGGAACACCAGUGGCGAACGCGACUUUCUGGCCUGUAACUGACGCUGAGCGCGAAAGCGUGGGGAGCAAACA